rnacentral:rRNA from 1 species
UACGAAGGGGGCUAGCGUUGCUCGGAAUCACUGGGCGUAAAGCGCACGUAGGCGGAUCGUUAAGUCGGGGGUGAAAUCCUGGAGCUCAACUCCAGAACUGCCUCCGAUACUGGCGAUCUUGGAGUCCGGGAGAGGUGAGUGGAACUCCGAGUGUAGAGGUGAAAUUCGUAGAUAUUCGGAAGAACACCAGUGGCGAAGGCGGCUCACUGGCCCGGUACUGACGCUGAGGUGCGAAAGCGUGGGGAGCAAACGGG